GACGAACGCUGGCGGCGUGCCUAAUACAUGCAAGUCGAGCGGAAGUUGAAGAGCUUGCUCUUCAACUUUAGCGGCGGACGGGUGAGUAACACGUGGGCAACCUGCCCUGCAGAUCGGGAUAACUCCGGGAAACCGGUGCUAAUACCGAAUAGUUUUGGGUCCCUCCUGGGACCUAACGGAAAGACGGUUUCGGCUGUCACUGCAGGAUGGGCCGGCGGCGCAUUAGCUAGUUGGUGGGGUAACGGCCCACCAAGGCGACGAUGCGUAGCCGACCGGAGAGGGUGAUCAGCCACACUGGGACUGAGACACGGCCCAGACUCCUACGGAGGGCAGCAGUAGGGAAUCUUCCGAAAUGGACGCAAGUCUGAUGGAGCAACGCCGCGUGAGUGAUGAAGGUUUUCGGAUCGUAAAACUCUGUUGCGAGGGAAGAAACCGUGCCAAUUAACUACUGGCACCUUGACGGUACCUCGCCAGAAAGCCACGGCUAACUACGUGCCAGCAGCCGCAGUAA
rnacentral:rRNA from 1 species